rnacentral:rRNA from 1 species
GACGAACCGUGCGAACGUUAUUCGGAAUCACUGGGCUUAAAGGGCGCGUAGGCGGGCGACCAAGUCAGGGGUGAAAUCGUUCGGCCCAACCGGACAAGGGCCCCUGAUACUGGUUGUCUCGAGGGAGGUAGGGGUCGAUGGAACUUCCGGUGGAGCGGUGAAAUGCGUAGAUAUCGGAAGGAACGCCGGUGGCGAAAGCGCGUGACUGGGCCACAACUGACGCUGAGGAACGAAAGCCAGGGGAGCGAAAGGG